rnacentral:rRNA from 1 species
CAAUUAUACAGCGAAACUGCGAAUGGCUCAUUAUAUAAGUUAUCGUUUAUUUGAUAGUACCUUACUACUUGGAUAACCGUGGUAAUUCUAGAGCUAAUACAUGCUGAAAAUCCCGACUUCGGAAGGGAUGUAUUUAUUAGAUUCAAAACCAAUGCCCUCUGGGCUCACUGGUGAUUCAUGAUAACUCUUCGAAUCGCAUGGCCUUGCGCCGGCGAUGGUUCAUUCAAAUUUCUUCCCUAUCAACUUUCGAUGUUUGGGUAGUGGCCAAACAUGGUUGCAACGGGUAACGGAGGGUUAGGGCUCGACCCCGGAGAAGGAGCCUGAGAAACGGCUACUACAUCCAAGGAAGGCAGCAGGCGCGCAAAUUACCCAAUCCCGACACGGGGAGGUAGUGACAAUAAAUACUGAUACAGGGCUCUUUUGGGUCUUGUAAUUGGAAUGAGUACAAUUUAAAUCCCUUAACGAGGAACAAUUGGAGGGCAAGUCUGGUGAACGUUGCUGGUGCCAGAGAGAGCCGCACCUCCCUAAAGAAGCGGCUAGUCGAGCGCCCGUGCUGUGACGGGUGGGCGCCGGCGAGACAACCUGGAUCGGGGAAGGCUAAGGGCCCAGAGGGCCUACGCUGAUCCCGAGCGGAGCCGCCCCAGGCGGCCCGUGUAGAGCGCGCAAAGGUGUCGGUCCCGGGAGCGAUCCCGGGGCUUAAGGUACGUGCCAAUCCCCCGCGAAAGCGGGGCCCCAGACUGAGCACCCGUCGUGCGAGGUCUCGGGGGGCCACAGGGGCCUAUAGCCCCCGUGAGCCGCCGAAACAGUGGCCAGCAGCCGCGGUAAUUCCAGCUCCAAUAGCGUAUAUUAAAGUUGUUGUGGUUAAAAAGCUCGUAGUUGAACCUUGGGCCUGGCUGGCCGGUCCGCCUCACCGCGUGUACUGGUCCGGCCGGGCCUUUCCCUCUGUGGAACCCCAUGCCCUUCACUGGGUGUGGCGGGGAAACAGGACUUUUACUUUGAAAAAAUUAGAGUGCUCCAGGCAGGCCUAUGCUCGAAUACAUUAGCAUGGAAUAAUGAAAUAGGACGCGCGGUUCUAUUUUGUUGGUUUCUAGGACCGCCGUAAUGAUUAAUAGGGACAGUCGGGGGCAUCAGUAUUCAAUUGUCAGAGGUGAAAUUCUUGGAUUUAUUGAAGACUAACUACUGCGAAAGCAUUUGCCAAGGAUGUUUUCAUUAAUCAGGAACGAAAGUUAGGGGAUCGAAGACGAUCAGAUACCGUCGUAGUCUUAACCAUAAACUAUGCCGACUAGGGAUCGGACGAUGUUAUUUUUUGACUCGUUCGGCACCUUACGAGAAAUCAAAGUGCUUGGGCUCCAGGGGGAG